GCUAGUAAUGGCAGGUCAGCAUACUGCCGUGAAUACGUUCCCGGGCCUUGUACACACCGCCCGUCACACCAUGAGAGUUGGAAAUACCCGAAGCCUGUGAGCUAACCUUAUAGGAGGCAGCAGUCGAAGGUAGAGUCAAUGAUUGGGGUGAAGUCGUAACAAGGUAAC
rnacentral:rRNA from 1 species